rnacentral:rRNA from 1 species
ACCUGAAGCCAGAUGAUCUAUACCUGAACAGGAUGAAGUUUUUUGAAAGAGAAAUGGAGGUCCGAACCGUUGUUACGUGCAUGUACUCGGAUGACUUGGGAAUAGGGGUGAAAAGCCAUUCUAAUCUGGCGAUAGCUGGUUCCUGCUGAAAUAUGCCUAGGUAUAGUCCGGUGUAGUUUGUUUAUGAGGUAAAGUACAGAUAAGUUUUGCAGAGUAUUUUUACUACGGAAACUUUUCUAACUCAGAACUUGUAAACUGCGUAGCACCGGAGACAGCGACGGUAUGUAAGAUACUGUUACGAAACCCGAACAAGGGAGCCCGAAGUUAAGGUCCCAAAAUGUUUACUAAGUGUAACGAAGGGAGUCACUAUUCCGAGACAGUGGGGAUGUAGGUCUAGAAGCCGCCAUCAUUUAAAGAAAGCGUAACAGCUCACCCAUUGAGAAUAGAGGCCCCGAAAAUGGACGGGGCUCAAGCAAACUACCGAUACUUCGGAUACAUCCAGUUGGAUGUUAUGGUAAGCAGGCGUGUUAGUUGCGUCGAAGGUUUCGCGUAAGCGAUGCUGGAGCGACUAGUAAUGCGAAUCCUGGUGUGAGUAGGAUCUGAUCUUUCUGAGAACCGAAAGACGUCGAAAGAGUACGGUUUCCUUGGCACUAUCAAUUAGCCAAGGGUUAGUCUGCACCUAAGUUGUAUCUUAACUGAGUACAACGACGGAGAACAGGUUAAUAUUCCUGUACUUGACUUUUUUGUUAAGUUCUUAGAUCGCUUUGGGAUAGGUGGAGUGCCGAAAGGUACAAGGCGCGAGAAGUUUGUGGAUCGUAAUGAAGAGAAGUUUACGAAUCGCCCUGAAUCUGCUGAGUCCGAGAGCCAUUGAAAAGUUUAAGAAAUAGAAAGAGUUGAGCAGUACCAAGAACUGGCACUGGUACUCUAGCUGAGAAGGCUAAGACGUGAAGGGUUAAUCAAGUUAAGGGAAUUCGGCAUAAAUAGUCCCGUAUCUUCGGUAGAAGGGAUGUCUAUAUCUUUCCAUGAUUCAUUAUGGGGGGAAGUAGAUCUCAGUAACAAGGAUGGCACGACUGUUUACCAAAAACGUAGCUAAGCGCAGCUCCGAAAGGAUAAGUAUGCUUGGUGAAGUCUGCCCAGUGGUGGUGUCCAAACACCGGUUUCAACCGGUCGAAGGCCCAUCAAACGGCGGGCCUAACUAUGAGGCUCUUAAGGUAGCGUAAUGCCUUGUCGUCUGAAUGGCGACGUGCAUGAACGGCUUAACGAUGUUGUCACUGUCCCUAACUUGGACCCUCCGAAAUCAUUUACCGGUGAAAAGGCCGGUGUCGUCUAGUGGGAAGCGAAGACCUUGUAGACCUUUACUGCAACCUGUUGUUGUGAUUUUAUUAUGAUUGCCCAGAGUAGGUAGGAGCGUUGAAGCUUAAGUUUCGGCUUAAGUGGAGCAAAAGUGUAACACUACCCAAUUUUAAUGGAACCACUAAUCUAGAAUUAGAGACAGCAAUUGGCGGGCAGUUUGGCUGGGGCGGCACCCCGCAGAAAGAAUAUCUGUGGGACCCAAAGACAAACUCAUCCAGUUCGGAAAUCUGGAGUAGAGUGUAAAGGCAAAAGCUUGUCUGACUGUUUUUCGAAAAGCAAGAAAAACAGGAAUGAAAGUUGGGCUUAACGAACCUUCGAUGAUUUUUAAUGGAUCACGAUGAUGUCAGAAAAGGUACCUCAAGGAUAACAGGCUUGUCGCCCCCGAUAGUUCACAUUGACGGGGCGGUUUGGUACAUCGCUGUCGGCUCUUCCUAUCCUGGAUGUGCACAAGCAUCCAAGGGUGUCGGAGUUCACGCAUUAAAAGGGAUCGUUAGCUGGGUUAAGAACGUCGUGAGACAGUUUGUAUGAUAUCUACUAGAUGUGUUGUUAACUGAGUGGAAGGACCCUCCAGUACGAGAGGAACGUGGGUUCGGAGCCUCUGGUCUACCAGUUGUUAUG